rnacentral:misc_RNA from 1 species
GAAAUGCGAUAAGUAAUGUGAAUUGCAGAAUUCAGUGAAUCAUCGAAUCUUUGAACGCACCUUGCGCUCCUUGGUAUUCCUUGGAGUAUGCCUGUUUGAGUAUCAUGAAAUCUUCAAAGUAAAUCUUUUGUUAACUCAAUUGGUUUCUACUUUGGUAUUGGAGGUCUUUGCAGCUUCACACCUGCUCCUCUUUGUUCAUUAGCUGGAUCUCAGUGUUAUGCUUGGUUCCACUCGGCGUGAUAAGUUAUCUAUCGCUGAGGACACUGUAAAAGGUGGCCAAGGUAAAUGCAGAUGAACCGCUUCUAAUAGUCCAUUGACUUGGACAAUACUUUUAUGAUCUGAUCUCAGAUCAGGUAGGACUACCCGCUGAACUUAAGC